GACUCUCGGCAACGGAUAUCUCGGCUCUCGCAUCGAUGAAGAACGUAGCGAAAUGCGAUACUUGGUGUGAAUUGCAGAAUCCCGUGAACCAUCGAGUCUUUGAACGCAAGUUGCGCCCGAGGCCACCCGGCCGAGGGCACGCCUGCCUGGGCGUCA
rnacentral:rRNA from 5 species